rnacentral:rRNA from 1 species
CUGGCGGCGUGCCUAACACAUGCAAGUCGAGCGAUGAAAUCCUUCGGGAUGGGAUUAGCGGCGGACGGGUGAGUAACACGUGGGUAACCUGCCUUGUAGAGGGGGAUAGCCUUCCGAAAGGAAGAUUAAUACCGCAUAACAUCUUUUUAUCGCAUGGUAGAAAGAUCAAAGGAGUAAUCCGCUACAAGAUGGACCCGCGGCGCAUUAGCUAGUUGGUGAGGUAACGGCUCACCAAGGCGACGAUGCGUAGCCGACCUGAGAGGGUGAUCGGCCACAUUGGAACUGAGACACGGUCCAGACUCCUACGGGAGGCAGCAGUGGGGAAUAUUGCGCAAUGGGGGAAACCCUGACGCAGCAACGCCGCGUGAAUGAAGAAGGCCUUAGGGUUGUAAAGUUCUGCUUACGGGGACGAUAAUGACGGUACCCGUGGAGGAAGCCACGGCUAACUACGUGCCAGCAGCGGC